rnacentral:rRNA from 1 species
GACGGAGGGUGCUAGCGUUGUUCGGAAUCACUGGGCGUAAAGGGCGCGUAGGCGGCCUGGCGAGUCGGCUGUGAAAGCCCGGGGCUCAACCCCGGAGGUGCAGCCGAGACGGCCAGGCUGGAGGCCGGAAGAGGAGGGUGGAAUACCCAGUGUAGAGGUGAAAUUCGUAGAUAUUGGGUGGAACACCGGUGGCGAAAGCGGCUCUCUGGUCCGGUACUGACGCUGAGGUGCGAAAGCGUGGGGAGCAAACAGG